CAAUAGCGUAUAUUAAAGCUGUUGCGGUUAAAAAGCUCGUAGUUGGAUUUCUGUCAAGGACAACUGGUCCGCCCUCCGGGUGAGCACAUAGUUUGGUCUUGGCAUCUUGCUGGAAACUGUUGCUGCACUUGGUUGUGUGGCGCAGCAUCCAGCACUUUCACUUUGAGGAAAUUGGAGUGUUUCAAGCAGGCACAUGCCUUUGGACACAGUAGCAUGGAAUAAUUAGAUUGGGCUUUUGCUCCAAUUUGUCGGUUUCUGGAGCUGAGGUGAGAAUUAAUGGGGAUUGUUGGGGGCAUCCGAAUUUAGCCGUCAGAGGUGAAAUUCUUUGAUUAGUUGAGGACGAACUAUUGCGAAAGCAUCUGCCAAGGACGUUUNCUUUG
rnacentral:rRNA from 1 species